CUCACUUUUCCAUGCACGGUUCACGGCAACUCACUUCACCCCCUCGCGCACGCCGGCGCCUCCACCAUACCCCGGACCCCGAAGCCUCCCAUCUCCUACGCCGACGGCGGCGCCAACAUCACCUACUCCCCGGCCUCCUCCCCCUGAGCUGCAGCUAGCCAGCUACUGAUAUCGUCUCUCUCUCUCUCUCUCUCUCUCUCAUCAUCUCACCGAGCUGCAGCUACAGGCGAUGGAGACUCCCCUUCCAUUCUGGAUGAUCGAGAGCUAAAAAUGCUUGCAAGAACCGACAAAGAUCAAGGAAGAGAGUAUGCUGCGUGUUGCCCAGACAUGAUCUGGAGGUGCACACUGCAGAGAGAUGGGUGUGCUGCUGAUUGAUGGGUUGUGACUCUCUGUGAGCCCAAGGGGAUAUAAUUGGUCUUGUCUCUGGGGCUGCAUCAAAAGUUGAGGGGCCAGCUGUUGGUGAGAUUUGUGCGGCAUGUUCCUGUGUCAUUUGAAGGCAAUCGAUUUUAGAAGAAUUGGCCAUGUUAAGGAAUCUCACCCUAAGAAACUGGUAUGGUUUCUGUCAUUAUGCAUCAAUGCAGCAUACUCUUAUGCCGCACCCUUCAUCAAUGGCCUACUCUAGCGUGAUAUCUGAUGACGAUCCAGCCAAUAACUCCUAUAAACGUCAACCUUAUGUUGAUGAAAAAGACAUUCUCAAUGAACUCUCUGAUUUGCUUGCAGUUCCUCAGGGCAUUCCUGUUCCCUAUCUUUUUAAAGUUAGUCACGCCACUACUAGUACACCACAACCUAGAGCUGUCGAUAUGUUUCUAUCUCCCGAAGAGAAACUGCGUGGGGUUUUUCUUCAAAAGCUUAAAGGCAGGACUGCAAUAGAAUGUGCUUUAAAUAAUGCUGGCAUUGAUUUGACCGAGGAUAUUAUUGCCAGAGUAGUCAAUAAAGGGAAUCUUGGAGGUGAGGCAAUGGUUAUUUUUUUCAGAUGGGCGAUUAGACAUCCUUCAAUUAAGCAGGAUACUGACUGCUAUAAUCUAAUCAUCAAAGCUUUGGGCAGGAGAAAAUAUUUUGAUUAUAUGGAGAAAAUGUUGUGCGAAAUGGGAUCAAAUGGUAUAAGGCCCAGUUUAGUUACCCUGUCGAUUGUUUUGGACAGCUUUCUCAGAGCUCGACAUGUGAGUAAAGCAAUAGAGUUUUUUGGAAGGCUGGGAGGGUUUGGGUGGGAACCUAAUACAGAGACCUUAAAUGUGCUUUUGCAAUGUCUGUGCCAGCGUUUCCAUGUGGGUGCUGCUAACCGUUUUCUGAAUUCAGUAAAAGAUAGAAUUCCGUUUAAUGCAACAACUUACAACACUAUCAUCAGUGGUUGGUCCAAAUCUGGUAGAGUAGGUGAAAUCAAGAGGGUCUUGGAGGGGAUGUCAGCAGAUGGAUUCAGUCCAGACUUUUUUACUUUUAGUUACCUCAUUGAGGGUUUUGGGAGAGCCGGUCAGAUUGAUGAAGCUGUGGAGAUUUUCAGUGGUGUGAAGGAGAAAUGCUGCGGGGUAGAUGUGAGUGUCUACAAUGCAAUAAUAACUAAUUUUGCAAUGGUCGGAGAUUUUGAUUCAUGCAUGACAUAUUACAAGAAUAUGUUGAGUGAGAAAUGUGAUCCCAAUGUUGAUACUUAUACCAAUUUGAUCUCUGCUUUUCUUAAAGCUAGAAAAGUGGCUGAUGCAUUGGAAAUGUUUGAUGAGAUGUUGAGUCGUGAGCUUGUACCUAGCACAGGGAUCAUAACCUCGUUUGUCGAACCUCUAUGUAGUUAUGGUCCUCCUUAUGCUGCCAUGAUGAUUUACAAGAAAGCCAAAAAGGCUGGCUGUAAGAUAUCUCUGACUGCUUACAAGUCAUUGCUCAUGCGGCUAUCUCGAUUUGGUAAAUGCGGGAUGAUGUUAAAUCUGUGGGAGGAAAUGCAGGAGUCAGGCCAUUCUUCUGAUAUUGAAGUUUAUGAAUAUAUAAUUAAUGGUCUUUGCAACAUAGGCCAGCUAGAUAAUGCAGUGCUCGUAAUGGAUGAAUCUCUGCGAAAAGGAUUCUGCCCCAGCAGGCUUAUAUGGAGCAAACUGAAUAACAAGUUAAUGGCUUCCAACCAAGUAGAGAAGGCUUACAAGCUUUUCUUGAAGAUAAAAGAUGCACGGAGACAUGAAAAUGCUCGGAGAUAUUGGCGUGCUAAUGGUUGGCAUUUUUGAAUCCCUGGAAUGCUGUCGUGUAUCAUUUUGCCCUGGCUUCGCUAGACAGCGUUAGACUUUGAGUCUUUGUAUUGUCAUGAUGAAGCGAAUUCUAAUGUGGUAAAGGAAAGGUGAGGGCAGGUUUUCAUCGAGAAGUUCAGUUAACGCGACAAAAGUUUCCGUAACAGAUGUUGGUUGGUGCUAGAACAGUGGCGUUCCUUCUACCUAUUCCUGUAUGGAACAGAAGUGUUAAGAUGCAAAACUCGAGCCUAAAGAAAAAGUAGAGACUGCUAUAUCAGUGAACAUCCCACUGGACAAGAACUGAGAUCCCCGGACCAGGAGAGGUCCUUUUUAUCUGAUUGAUCGGUAACCCCUAUUGUGGGAAAGAGUUAUCAAAUGACGGUUACCGACUGUUGAAGGAAUGAUAUUCAAUAUGUUGAUAGUUCGUUGCGAUUUAUGAGAGAGCUCCUGAAUGUGCUUUGUGCAAAUAUUUGCGGUUCUUUCUUUUCGAUGGUCAAGCCCUUUGUAAUUCUAUGUACCUGAUGAGCCGAGAGUGUUGUAAGGACAGUAUGUGUAGUUACCUGUUAGAUCCGAAUUUCGUUCGCAACUUAUUACAUAAGGUGUGCUUGCUUAGUCGUGCUGAGUUCAUGAUAUAAAAUACAAUGCAAGAAAGCCGAGUGAGCUCGCCUUGGCCAUCCCUACGGGCAGAAGAUCCGGGGUGCCAUGGAAGUCUCAACAACAUAGCGCCCCGACUGGAGUAAACAUCCAGGCAGCAUACUGAAAUUUGUGCGUGAACAAUGUUGCCGUUCAUUUGAAAUGAUUAUGGCCCGUCAAAUGGCUUGAUGCC